GAUGAAGAACGCAGCGAAACGCGAUACGUAAUGUGAAUUGCAGAAUUCAGUGAAUCAUCGAAUCUUUGAACGCACAUUGCGCCCGCCAGUAUUCUGGCGGGCAUGCCUGUCUGAGCGUCGUUUCGACCCUCGCGCCCGGCUUCUGUCGGGGGCGGUGUUGGGGAUCGGCCACACCCUUCAGUGGGAGGCCGGCCCCUAAAUUCAGUGGCGACCACGCUGUAGCCUCCCCUGCGUAGUACUAAAACCACCUCGCAGGCGGAGAGCGGUGCGGCCCGCCGUAAAACCCCCCAACUUUUACAAGGUCGACCUCAGAUCAGGUAGGAAUACCCGCUGAACUUAAGCAUAUCAAUAAGCGGAGGA
rnacentral:misc_RNA from 1 species